GAUGAACGCUGGCGGCGUGCCUAAUACAUGCAAGUCGAGCGAACGGACGAGAAGCUUGCUUUUCUGAUGUUAGCGGCGGACGGAUGAGUAACACGUGGAUGGCCUACCUAUACGACUGGGAUAACUUCGGGAAACCGGAGCUACUACCGGAAAAUAUUUUGAACCGCAUGGUUCACGAGUGAAAGACGGUCUUGCUGUCACUUAUAGAUGAAUCCGCGUUGCAUUAGCUAGUUGGUAAGGUAACGGCUUACCAAGGCUACGAUGCAUAGCCGACCUGAGAGGGUGGUCGGCCACCUUGGAUGUGAGACACGGUCCCGACUCCUACGGGAGGACGCAGUAGGGAAUCUUCCGCGAGGCGCCAAUGCCUGAUGUAGCAACACCGCGUGAGUGAUGAAGGUGUUCGGCUCGUAAAACGCUGUUAUUAUUGAAGAACAUAUGUGCAUUUAACCGUGCACAUAUUGACGGUACCGAGACAGAAAGCCCCGGCUAACUACGUG
rnacentral:rRNA from 1 species